UGAACCAGGUUCAGGAUGAAAGACGGUUUCGGCUGUCACUUACAGAUGGACCCGCGGCGCAUAGCUAGUUGGUGGGGUAAUGGCUCACCAAGGCGACGAUGCGUAGCCGACCUGAGAGGGUGAUCGGCCACACUGGGACUGAGACACGGCCCAGACUCCUACGGGAGGCAGCAGUAGGGAAUCUUCCGCAAUGGACGAAAGUCUGACGGAGCAACGCCGCGUGAGUGAUGAAGGUUUUCGGAUCGUAAAGCUCUGUUGUUAGGGAAGAACAAGUGCGAGAGUAACUGCUCGCACCUUGACGGUACCUAACCAGAAAGCCACGGCUAACUACGUGCCAGCAGCCGCGGUAAUACGUAGGUGGCAAGCGUUGUCCGGAAUUAUUGGGCGUAAAGGGCUCGCAGGCGGUUUCUUAAGUCUGAUGUGAAAGCCCCCGGCUCAACCGGGGAGGGUCAUUGGAAACUGGGAAACUUGAGUGCAGAAGAGGAGAGUGGAAUUCCACGUGUAGCGGUGAAAUGCGUAGAGAUGUGGAGGAACACCAGUGGCGAAGGCGACUCUCUGGUCUGUAACUGACGCUGAGGAGCGAAAGCGUGGGGAGCGAACAGGAUUAGAUACCCUGGUAGUCCACGCCGUAAACGAUGAGUGCUAAGUGUUAGGGGGUUUCCGCCCCUUAGUGCUGCAGCUAACGCAUUAAGCACUCCGCCUGGGGAGUACGGUCGCAAGACUGAAACUCAAAGGAAUUGACGGGGGCCCGCACNAGCGGUGGAGCAUGUGGUUUAAUUCGAAGCAACGCGAAGAACCUUACCAGGUCUUGACAUCCUCUGACAACCCUAGAGAUAGGGCUUUCCCUUCGGGGACAGAGUGACAGGUGGUGCAUGGUUGUCGUCAGCUCGUGUCGUGAGAUGUUGGGUUAAGUCCCGCAACGAGCGCAACCCUUGAUCUUAGUUGCCAGCAUUCAGUUGGGCACUCUAAGGUGACUGCCGGUGACAAACCGGAGGAAGGUGGGGAUGACGUCAAAUCAUCAUGCCCCUUAUGACCUGGGCUACACACGUGCUACAAUGGACAGAACAAAGGGCUGCAAGACCGCAAGGUUUAGCCAAUCCCAUAAAUCUGUUCUCAGUUCGGAUCGCAGUCUGCAACUGACUGCGUGAAGCGGAAUCGCUGUAGGGAUCAGCAGCGGG
rnacentral:rRNA from 2 species